rnacentral:misc_RNA from 1 species
GAUGAAGAACGUAGCGAAAUGCGAUAAGUAAUGUGAAUUGCAGAAUUCAGUGAAUCAUCGAAUCUUUGAACGCACCUUGCGCCUUUUGGUAUUCCGAAAGGCACACCUGUUUGAGCGUCAUGAAUACCUCAAUCUCCAUCUUUUCUUCGGAUUGAUGGGUGACUUGGAUGUUGAGCCCUGCUGGUAUGCUAUAUCAGCUGGCUUUAAACUUAUUAGCCGGCUCUGUACUGGAUCGGUUUGACUCGACGUGAUAAUAUUAUCGUUGAGGAUGCAUGUCUCAUGCAGCCGGAAAGUAUCAAAGCUGCUUCUAGCUUGCCUUUAGUGCACUUUUACAUUUUAGACCUCAGAUCAGGUGGGACUACCCGCUGAACUUAAGCAUAUCAAUAAGCGGAGGA